GAUGAAGAACGUAGCGAAAUGCGAUAAGUAAUGUGAAUUGCAGAAUUCAGUGAACCAUCGAAUCUUUGAACGCACAUUGCGCCCGGCAGUAAUCUGCCGGGCAUGCCUGUCCGAGCGUCAUUUCUGCCCUCGAGCGAGUCCAGCAUCUAGGUGCUGGGCCCGCCCGGCGUUGGGGCACUACGGGAAGCCCUGUGCUGUCCCCCGUAGGCCCCGAAAUGAAGUGGCGGUCCUGCCGCGGCGCCCCCUGCGUAGUAUAACAGCUCGCUUCGGGACCCGGUGGAGGCCUGCCGUCAAACCUUACUCUCUAAGUUUGACCUCGGAUCAGGUAGGGUUACCCGCUGAACUUAAGCAUAUCAAUAAGCGGAAGA
rnacentral:misc_RNA from 1 species